AUCAAAAUGAGGAGGAUGCUUGUUCUGAAGUAUCUAAACGUGGAUACAUCCAUUCAUGGUCUUCAAAGUUCUCUGAUUGUU
rnacentral:snoRNA from 1 species